UGGGACUGUACUUGGGCGGUGGGGACUCCUCUCUGAGAUUUGAAUGAUAAGAAGGAGCAGCUAUUGCAAGACCAUGGGGAGAACAUGCAGGAAGGAGAGAACUGGCUUGCUCCAGGCAAGGAGAAUGUCCUGUGUGUCUGGGACAAGACUGAAGAGAGAAGCAAGAGAUAAGAGCAGUCGUAAGAUUGCCUGUGGGCAUUUUGGGGAAGACCUACUGGAUAAGUGGAUGAGCUGCAGUGCGGAAAUUGUAAAGCACUGCACAGUGCUUGCAGGGACACUGAUGAAAACAUAGCUGUCCCCACCAUUAGAACAUCUUCAGCAUCCCAGCUUUACCCAGACUGCCCCGUGCCUUCCUUUCUUUUGGUAAUAGUAGGGUCAUCUUGAUUUUGUUUAACUUUUCAACUGGCAAUACCACAUUAUUUUUCCAGUUCCAAAAGUAGUACAGAUGCACUGUAAAACAUCUCUUUUAAAGAAAAAAAAAUUCCAGCUUUAACACUGUCGCCAUGUGACUUGGGGGAAGCCGUUCUCUGGGUUGG
ensembl:lncRNA